rnacentral:rRNA from 1 species
UACGGGGGGGGCAAGCGUUGUUCGGAAUUACUGGGCGUAAAGCGCACGUAGGCGGACUCUUAAGUCAGGGGUGAAAUCCUGGAGCUCAACUCCAGAACUGCCUUUGAUACUGGGAGCCUUGAGUUCGGGAGAGGUGAGUGGAACUGCGAGUGUAGAGGUGAAAUCCGUAGAUAUUCGCAAGAACACCAGUGGCGAAGGCGGCUCACUGGCCCGAUACUGACGCUGAGGUGCGAAAGCGUGGGGAGCAAACAGG